AUACGUAGGGGGCAAGCGUUGUCCGGAAUGAUUGGGCGUAAAGGGAGCGUAGGCGGCCCGGUAAGUCUGAAGUGAAAGUCCUGGUUUUAAGUUGGGAAUUGCUUUGGAUACUGUCGGGCUUGAGUGCAGGAGAGGUAAGUUGAAUUCCCAGUGUAGCGGUGAAAUGCGUAGAGAUUGGGAGGAACACCAGUGGCGAAGGCGACUUACUGGACUGUAACUGACGCUGAGGCGCGAAAGUGUGGGGAGCUAACAGGAUUAGAUACCCUGGUAGUCCACACUGUAAACGAUGAAUGCUAGGUGUAGGGGGUAUCGACCCCUUCUGUGCCGCAGUCAACACAAUAAGCAUUCCGCCUGGGGAGUACGGCCGCAAGGUUGAAACUUAAAGGAAUUGACGGGG
rnacentral:rRNA from 1 species